rnacentral:tRNA from 1 species
ACCCGCAUAGCUCAGUUGGUAGAGCAUCAGAUUUUUAUGUAUGAUAGAGUAAAGGAAUCUGAGGGUCGCGGGUUCGAAUCCCUCUGCGGGCG